rnacentral:rRNA from 1 species
GCGAACGCUGGCGGCAGGCUUAACGCAUGCAAGUCGAGCGGGCACUUUCGGGUGUCAGCGGCGGACGGGUGAGUAACGCGUGGGAACGUGCCCUCUGGUUCGGAAUAACUCAGGGAAACUUGAGCUAAUACCGGAUACGCCCUUUUGGGGAAAGGCUUGCUGCCGGAGGAUCGGCCCGCGUCUGAUUAGCUAGUUGGUGAGGUAACGGCUCACCAAGGCGACGAUCAGUAGCUGGUCUGAGAGGAUGAUCAGCCACACUGGGACUGAGACACGGCCCAGACUCCUACGGGAGGCAGCAGUGGGGAAUAUUGGACAAUGGGCGCAAGCCUGAUCCAGCCAUGCCGCGUGAGUGAUGAAGGCCUUAGGGUUGUAAAGCUCUUUUAUCCGGGACGAUAAUGACGGUACCGGAGGAAUAAGCCCCGGCUAACUUCGUG